UAGGGAAUCUUCGGCAAUGGACGAAAGUCUGACCGAGCAACGCCGCGUGAGUGAAGAAGGUUUUCGGAUCGUAAAACUCUGUUGUUAGAGAAGAACAAGGACGUUAGUAACUGAACGUCCCCUGACGGUAUCUAACCAGAAAGCCACGGCUAACUACGUGCCAGCAGCCGCGGUAAUACGUAGGUGGCAAGCGUUGUCCGGAUUUAUUGGACGUAAAGCGAGCGCAGGCGGUUUCUUAAGUCUGAUGUGAAAGCCCCCGGCUCAACCGGGGAGGGUCAUUGGAAACUGGGAGACUUGAGUGCAGAAGAGGAGAGGGGAAUUCCAUGUGUAGCGGUGAAAUGCGUAGAUAUAUGGAGGAACACCAGUGGCGAAGGCGGCUCUCUGGUCUGUAACUGACGCUGAGGCUCGAAAGCGUGGGGAGCAAACAGG
rnacentral:rRNA from 1 species